rnacentral:rRNA from 1 species
GACAGAGGGUGCAAACGUUGCUCGGAAUUACUGGGCGUAAAGCGCGUGUAGGUGGAUUGGUGUGUCAGAUGUGAAAGCCCUGGGCUCAACCCAGGAACUGCACCUGAAACUACCAGUCUUGAGUGGUGGAGAGGGAAGUGGAAUUCCUGGUGUAGAGGUGAAAUUCGUAGAUAUCUGGAGGAACACCGGUGGCGAAGGCGGCAUCCUGGACCAAUAUUGACGCUGAGGAGCGAAAGCCAGGGGAGCAAACGGG